GACGAACGCUGGCGGCGUGCUUAACACAUGCAAGUCGAACGGAAAGGCCCUGCUUUUGUGGGGUGCUCGAGUGGCGAACGGGUGAGUAACACGUGAGUAACCUGCCCUUGACUUUGGGAUAACUUCAGGAAACUGGGGCUAAUACCGGAUAGGAGCUCCUGCUGCAUGGUGGGGGUUGGAAAGUUUCGGUGGUUGGGGAUGGACUCGCGGCUUAUCAGCUUGUUGGUGGGGUAGUGGCUUACCAAGGCUUUGACGGGUAGCCGGCCUGAGAGGGUGACCGGCCACAUUGGGGCUGAGAUACGGCCCAGACUCCUCCGGGAGGCAGCAGUGGGGAAUAUUGCACAAUGGGCGGAAGCCUGAUGCAGCAACGCCGCGUGCGGGAUGACGGCCUUCGGGUUGUAAACCGCUUUCGCCUGUGACGAAGCGUGAGUGACGGUAAUGGGUAAAGAAGCACCGGCUAACUACGUG
rnacentral:rRNA from 1 species